GGGGUUGUGGCUCAGUGGUAGAGCGUUUGCCUAGCAUGCAUGAGGCACCGGGUUUGAUCCUCAGCACCA
rnacentral:tRNA from 1 species